rnacentral:rRNA from 1 species
GAUGAACGCUGGCGGCGUGCCUAAUACAUGCAAGCCGAGCGAACAGACGAGGAGCUUGCUCCUCUGACGUUAGCGGCGGACGGGUGAGUAACACGUGGAUAACCUACCUAUAAGACUGGGAUAACUUCGGGAAACCGGAGCUAAUACCGGAUAAUAUAUUGAACCGCAUGGUUCAAUAGUGAAAGACGGUUUUGCUGUCACUUAUAGAUGGAUCCGCGCCGCAUUAGCUAGUUGGUAAGGUAACGGCUUACCAAGGCAACGAUGCGUAGCCGACCUGAGAGGGUGAGCGGCCACACUGGAACUGAGACACGGUCCAGACUCCUACGGGAGGCAGCAGUAGGGAAUCUUCCGCAAUGGGCGAAAGCCUGACGGAGCAACGCCGCGUGAGUGAUGAAGGUCUUCGGAUCGUAAAACUCUGUUAUUAGGGAAGAACAAAUGUGUAAGUAACUAUGCACGUCUUGACGGUACCUAAUCAGAAAGCCACGGCUAACUACGUG